rnacentral:rRNA from 1 species
UACGAAGGGGGCUAGCGUUGCUCGGAAUUACUGGGCGUAAAGCGCACGUAGGCGGUCUUUUAAGUCGGGGGUGAAAUCCUGGAGCUCAACUCCAGAACUGCCUCGAUACUGGAAGACUUGAGUCCGGGAGAGGUGAGUGGAACUGCGAGUUGUAGAGGUGAAAUUCGUAGAUAUUCGCAAGAACACCAGUGGCGAAGGCGACUCACUGGACACAUAUUGACGCUGAGGUGCGAAAGCGUGGGGAGCAAACG